rnacentral:rRNA from 1 species
GACGAACGCUGGCGGCGUGCUUAACACAUGCAAGUCGAACGGUGAAGGGACCAGCUUGCUGGUUCUGGAUGAGUGGCGAACGGGUGAGUAACACGUGAGUAACCUGCCCCCUUCUUCUGGAUAACCGCAUGAAAGUGUGGCUAAUACGGGAUAUUCUGGGUCUGUCGCAUGGCGGGCCCGGGAAAGAUAUUGCUUCGGUGGGGGAUGGGCUCGCGGCCUAUCAGCUUGUUGGUGGGGUGAUGGCCUACCAAGGCGGUGACGGGUAGCCGGCCUGAGAGGGGGGACGGUCACACUGGGACUGAGACACGGCCCAGACGCCUACGGGAGGCAGCAGUGGGGAAUAUUGCGCAAUGGGCGCAAGCCUGAUGCAGCGACGCCGCGUGAGGGAGGGAGGCCUUCGGGUUGUAAACCUCUUUCGCCAGUGAAGCAGGCCUGCUACUUGUGGGUGGGUUGACGGUAGCUGGAUAAGAAGCGCCGGCUAACUACGUG